rnacentral:rRNA from 1 species
AUUGAACGCUGGCGGCAUGCUUUACACAUGCAAGUCGAACGGUAACAGGCCGCAAGGUGCUGACGAGUGGCGAACGGGUGAGUAAUGCAUCGGAACGUGCCCAGUCGUGGGGGAUAACGCAGCGAAAGCUGUGCUAAUACCGCAUACGAUCUGUGGAUGAAAGCGGGGGACCGAAAGGCCUCGCGCGAUUGGAGCGGCCGAUGUCAGAUUAGGUAGUUGGUGGGGUAAAGGCUCACCAAGCCAACGAUCUGUAGCUGGUCUGAGAGGACGACCAGCCACGCUGGGACAGAGACACGGCCCAGACUCCUACGGGAGGCAGCAGUGGGGAAUUUUGGACAAUGGGCGCAAGCCUGAUCCAGCAAUGCCGCGUGCAGGAAGAAGGCCUUCGGGUUGUAAACUGCUUUUGUACGGAGCGAAAAGGCUCUCUCUAAUACAGGGGGCUCAUGACGGUACCGUAAGAAUAAGCACCGGCUAACUACGUGCCAGCCGCCGCAGUAAAAC